CAAAGAUUUGGUCCUAACCUUACUGUUACUUUUUGCUAAACUUACACAUGCAAGUGUCAGCACACCAGUGAAAAUACCCUAACAGUCUAAUCAGAUAAAAGGAGCCGGUAUCAGGCACACCAUGACAGCCCAAGACACCUAGCCCUGCCACACCCCCAAGGGUACCACAGCAGUGAUAAAAAUUAAGCAAUAAGCGCAAGCUUGACUUAAUUAUAGCAAAUCUAGAGCUGGUCAAUCUCGUGCCAGCCACCGCGGUUAUACAAGAAGCCCAAACUAACAGCUAAUCGGCGUAAAAUGUGGCUAAAUAUUUAUCAACAAAAUUAAGGUGAACCUAAUACCCAACUGUCAUACGUAAAGGUAUACAUUAACACACUAUGAAAAUAACCUUAAUACUAACGAAACAAUUUGAACCCACGAUCGCUAAGACACAAACUAGGAUUAGAUACCCUACUAUGCUUAGCCCUAAACUUAGAUAUUUAACAUACAAAAAUAUCCGCCAGAGAACUACGAGCAAAACGCUUGAAACUCUAAGGACUUGGCGGUACCUCAAACCCCCCUAGAGGAGCCUGUUCUAUAAUCGAUAAUCCACGAUUCACCUCACCAUCUCUUGCCAAUCCCGCCUAUAUACCACCGUCACCAGCUUACCCCGUGAGGGUAAAAAAGUAAGCAAAAUAACCCACAACAGCUAAUAAGUCAGGUCAAGGUGUAGCUAAUUGAGAUGGAAGAAAUGGGCUACAUUUUCUAUAUUAGAAAUAGUCACGGAAGGAGACUAUGAAACAAGUCCCACAAGUAGGAUUUAGCAGUAAACUGGGAACAGAACGCCCAAUUUAAGCCGGUCCUGAGGUGCGCACACACCGCCCGUCACCCUCCUCAAAAAUCAACUAAACAACCAUAAAUAAACCACAACAAACAAAUAGAUGAGGCAAGUCGUAACAAGGUAAGUACACCGGAAGGUGUACUUGGAACAC
rnacentral:ncRNA from 1 species